rnacentral:rRNA from 1 species
UUGGGGGCUGGAAUGAAUGAGGCGACGAAAUCUAGGCUAUCUAAGUUUUAAAUUAAAUUGACAAAGAGGUCAAAAGGCCUGUGUGGGCCAAGGGGACGAUAAGACCCUAUAAAACUUUACUUUUAGUGUGGGGUCUGACGGGGUGUUUUUACAUUUAAAAGUUUUACUGGGGCGGUAGUUAUAAAAACAAUUAGAUAUAAAAUAUAUUAAAUAGUGUAAAAGAACUCUUUUGAGAAAUAGAACAAGUUACUUUAGGGAUAACAGCGUAAUCCCCCCAGAGAGUCCUAAUUGGCGGGGGGCUUACGACCUCGAUGUUGAAUUGGGGUCUCUUGUAUAAGCAGGCAUAU